rnacentral:lncRNA from 1 species
CUUGCUAACGCGUGCGACGCCGUUCUCAGGGCACAGUCUCUGUCAAACGAAGAGCUAUUUCUAACGAGCUCGCUUGGCAGGGACCAAGCCCCCCAUGAGGCGGCGCAGCUAACGUUACGGGCUGACCUCACAUUUUUGCGUUCGUGUUGGCACCACUACUGGUAUAAAACUGUGACGUGUUACAAAAAUACAGGCAGUGCUUCGGAUCGGCUCUUUGAAGGAGGACGGAGCACUGCUCCUGAAUAGAGAUGCCGUUAUGAGGAGGUGUUCCCCGUACUAUUCCCUUCGUCAAUUCGACGAAUUUCUUCGGCCAACUCUACUGUUCAACGAGGUGAAAAUAUCCAUUACCCGUUCCAUAUUAACUGUCCUCGAAUAUCCCAUAGAAUCAGUUGUGGAUUGGUAUUGUAUGCCCCAUAACUGCCAAAACAAUCCUUAUGUGCCAAAUCCAUUUUGCUCUUCAGGUAAAAUAUCCGUAUCCGUCAACGCCAUCUAUCUCUCAUCCCGUUCAAUACAAUUAGAUUUUAACAGCUCUCUCGUGACUCACGUAUUUUACUCAUCACAUCCAUGUCACGCUGAGCGUGUCUGUAUAUUAUACGAUAGAAUAGUCAAUAUUGCAUCGUAACAUUUAGAUUCCCUGACUCUUUAACCAAUUUAACGUAACGAAACCUCUGCCCAUUCUACAAUUAUAUUGCACUUCCGUGGUCUUUUAGAUUUUACUAUGACCACAAUCCCUUGGCACUCAAAUGAUCUCUUCUUAUUUUGGGCAAUGGACACGAGGGCAUCUAUACUCAUCUUUAAUGCACUAUCAACGUCUUUCGCCGUUGACUGACUACUACACCAUCCGGAUAUCUCGUCACUAUCGACCGGCACCAGGCAGUCACCGUGGCACGCCGCCACGUGUGACCAUUGCCAACGCUGUCAACACUAUGCCAUCUCUAUGUGACACUUCAUUGUUAAUCUUCAAGUUCAUUAUCAGCAAGUUCUUCUAAUUGCAUAUUUGUGUACUGUUUCCAAGACUUUGUUUUGAACUAUUGCUGAAGCAGCACAUCACAAAGCUGCCAUUUAUAUUGUAAGCUUGAUUGGCUACAUUACAACUUGUAUGUAUGUAUGUGUACUGUUUGUGACAAGUGUAUGAAAGCAUAUUUGUAUGUGUGUAAGCUUACAAAAUCUUGUUUCACUUCUCAGGCCACCGACCAAAAUACGAGUUCUGCACGGUGUUAUGCUGCCAACCUCCAUGAGUCACAACGGACCGUCAUACACAUGCACGCAACAGACCGAGCUCCAGGCCUCCGCCGCCAGCCACGGGCCCAGGCCGGCAGCGGAGACGUCGAGAUUCAGCGAGUCGAGAUCUGGUACAUACCACGUCUUCAACACGACCCUGGCGCCACGCCCACGAUAUCCACACGGGCGCGGUUCACUCAUCGCCGAACAAGACGGGUCGUCUACUGCCUCUGGCGCCGCAACACACGCAUCCUAUCGUGUGCGGCCAGGCUGAACAGAAGAGGAUCACCAGCAACAUGAUCCAGUACCAGCGACAUCGACUCGCGACGUCUGCUACAUCUCUGCUCGCACUUCGCCUCAACGAGGUUCGUGCUCUGCCUCAACUAGCUCUGGCCUGCCAAAACUAGAGUCCAGCGAAAAGGACCACAUCAAGAGAUCCCACCACACGAAGGGACAUCAAUCGCAGGCUGGCCAGAGGCUGCAACCGUCAGAGACCUGAAUCUUCAAGUGCAAGAGAUUCGAGUAGCAGACCGCGCACAAAGACGUCCAUCUCGGUCAUGUGUUGUUAUUUUGACGCCUCCUGUUGUCGGCUCAUGGGGGAGGGUAAGAUAAUG